rnacentral:lncRNA from 1 species
UUUGUUUCAUAACCCAAGAUAUGGUCUAUCUUGGUGAAUGUCCCAUAAAUGCCCAAAAAAUGUGUAUUACGUAUUGGCUGAUAGUACUGUUCAGUUCUCCCACGCACUUGCUUUUUGUCUAGUGGGUUUAUCCAUUACUAAACAAGGGGUGUUGAAGUCCCCAACUGUAAACUGUAAACUUGUCCAUUUUUUCCUUUUAGUUCUAUCAAUUCUUAGAUCAUAUACUUUGCAGCUGUGUUAUUUGGUUAAUGCACACCUGUUGUCUUUUUGUGAUCUGACCUCUUCAUCAUUAUGUAAUGUAUUUCUUUGUCCCUGGCAAUUUUCUUUUGUCCUAAAGUCUACCUUGUCUGAUAGUAAGUCAUCCACUCCAGCUUUCUCUGAAUUACUGUUUGCAAGGUGUAUCUUUUCUAUCCUUUUACUCUUAGUUUAUUGAUAUUGAGAUUUACUGAUAAAUCAUUGUUAAUUUACUGAUAUUUUGAGUUUCUUGUAGUUAGCAUUUGGUUGGGUCAGGUUUUUAAAUUCACUCUCACAAUCUUGGUGUGUUUAGACCAUUUACAUUGAAUGUAAUUACUGAUAUGUGAGGUUAUAGGUCAGUCAUUUUAUUGUUUUGCUUUUUUCCUGUUUCCUCUUACCUGUCUUCAAGUGGGUUAUUUGGGCAUUCUUUAGUAGUCCAUUUUGAUUUAUCUACAUUUUUGAGUGUAUCUCUUCAUAUAGUUUUUCAGUGGUUACAGACUGCAAUACACACAUGAAGUUUACUGCAGUCUACUACUAUCAACAUCUACCACUUGAAGUGGAAUGUGGAUAUUUAACCACCAUUUAAGUCCCUUUUACUGCCCCCACUCUGUGAUGUAAUUGUCUAAAAUACUUCCUCUACAUACACUGAGAACCACAUCAAUGUUGUAAUUUUUACUUUAACUUUUAAAUGAAAAGUAUAAUUGGAUAUUAUACUUGUCUUCCAUAACAAGUUCAAUGUCUACAUAUCUACUCAUUUACUCAACAUCCACUCAUCCAUGAACUUGUUAGCCACUUUUCCAUCCACUAUGCAUUCAAUGCAUCCAUCUGUAAUCCUUGAAAUUCAUCUGAAACUUGUUUCUAACAUAUUUGAGUCUGACUAUCCUCUGAGAUCUAUUCUCUCUUUCCUUUCCUUUUUAAUUCAUUCAGAUGUUGUUUUGUAAGUGUUUACAUUUAUUUCAAGCAGUACUCUCCCCAAAUGAACCAUAAGCAUCUUGGCAGUGGAUUUCUAUUCAUUUUGUAUAUUCCCCUAGGACCUGUUGUGGUGUUCUAGCAUCUACAUGCCUACUAGAUGACGCACCAGGUUUUCCACAAAACUU